GGUUUUAUGCCUGGAUUUUUGUAACAGUGUAUUUUGGUGUGACAGCAGCCGUAAUGUUUCAUUCGCAGCGUGGUCUGCGUUUUUACUAUUUACUGCAUUUAUUGUUUAUUGGUACUCAAUCAAUUAUCCUUCAUAUUGUGCUCUUUUAAAAACAGAAUUUUAAUCAAUAAAAUUGUGUAAUUCUUUUUGGAAGUCUGUCUCUCGUCCUCUGCUUGGUGUAACGAAUCUGUGUGACCUUUAGUGAGAGGGUCUGUUGUAUUUCCUGGGGUGAAACUCCCCAGGUGGCGUUGUUCGGCAACAAAAUACUUAAUCCCCCCCCUCCAUUACGCCGCCACAAUAGGAAAAAACAAGGGUAUUAGGGGUAAAAAAAACAAUGACUAGAGAGGGAAUAAAUGUGCCAUUUAGUAUGUUUGAGAUAAAGAGCGCAAUAGCAAAAGCAAAGCAGACGACACCAGGGAAGGAUGGAAUCUGCAGGGCUCUCAAGUCUCACGCAUUCAGCGUGUGACACACGCAUUCCCACCCGUUCACACGCUCACACGCCACACAUUGUAUUUCUCACGCAUUUAAAUGAACACGGUGAUGUCCACCAAGUUGCACCUCUUUAACUAUGGAACAGGUAGGAAUCAACUGAGUUCCUCCGAGAGUUCAGAAGCUGCAUGCCACGCGCAAGCCAAUCAAAUAAAGUAUAUUUACUGAACAACCAAUCAAAAAGCAGCAUUGCUGUAUCCGGGUGGAUUUUGAUAUCUUGCGGUUUGACUACAGAAGAAGAAAGACACUCGCCGUAAUAGAGCAGGUUUUUAUAAGGACGAGAUAGACCCGAUGAUUACAGUAAGUCGGUAACCUACACAUGCAGAGACCUCAACACCUCAUGGCAGAUAAACUCAUAUGAUAAACUAAAGCCCUAUGCUAUUGCUAUUAACAGCUGUAUUGACGGAUUUAGCCUCUGUACAGCCAUUUCCAGCCAUUUUCCCCUCCACAAAAGCAGCAUUUCUCAUAUAUCUCAAAUAUAAGUUCUGAUACUCAUGACAGUGUAAUGCUCAUGUACCAAAGGAUUAAGUAUCUCCAUGUUUGUGAAACCUAUACUAAAGUACAAUUCAUCUAAAUGCUCCACAGUGCUGAUUUUAACAACCCUCCUUCACAACAGGUAACUUUACGACUUAAUACUUAUAUAUUAAUGACUUUAUUCUCCCAAAUAAUAACUUUAUUCUCUAAGAUUUAAAAACGUUUUUUUUUUUUUUUUUUUUUUGUAAUUGUGCCCCUUAUACUCCGUUGUAUUUAAGAAAUAAUUAUAUUAAUAAUAAUUAUCUUCAAUCCCCCCCAAGGAAAUCUUACUCUAAGCUUAGUUCAAAACUUGAGAGCCCUGAAUUUGUUAUGGAAUGUUAGCACAGAUGAGUGACAGAGCCCUCAAAAUUGUAUUAAACUUGUAUAAUAAAGUGUGGAAGUCAGGUAAAAUCCCAGCCAAGAGGAAGGAGUCAGUUAUAGUUUCUAUACCAAAGCCAGGGAAACAUCAGUCAGACCCAGCUAGUUAUAGGCCCAUUGCACUAACGUCUCAGUUGGGGAAAAUAAUGGAGCGAAUGGUUAUGGAACGGUUAAAUUACUAUUUAGAGAGCAAAAACCUCUUAUCGCCGUAUCAAAGUGGUUUUCGCAAAGGAAGAGGGACUAUGGAUAAUGUAUGAGUGUUAGAAUCGGAGAUUAGGAAAGCUCAAGCUAAUAAGGAAAUAGUUCUAGCAGUCUUUUUUGACGUGGAGAAGGCAUAUGAUAUGCUGUGGAAGGAAGGUCUCCUUUAUUAAAAGGAAAAAUACUAUUAAAAGUAUUGAGUUUUUGGUUUGAUCGGAAAAUUAAGGUGCGGAUGGGCACUUACUACUCCAGACAGGACAGUGUAGAGAAUGGGACGCCCCAAGGAAGUGUGUGCAGUCCAACUUUGUUAAACAUUAUGAUAAAUGAUAUCUUUGAGCAACUCCAACCAAGUGUAAGCAAGUCAUUAUUUGCGGAUGAUGGGGCCUUGCGGACUAGGGGGCGCAAUUUACAAUAUUUACAGCAGAAACUGCAGUGUGCGAUUGGGAGAGUGGAACGGUGGGCGGAUAACUGGGGAUUUAAAUUUUCAGUGAGCAAGACACACACACACAAUAUGCUUUGCAAGAAGACGUGGAAUUUGCUAAAAGUGGACAAUAGGGCAAGGCUGGGGCGACUGAUGGAUUCUGUGCGGGAUACACGGUUAAUAGAAAGGAUUUAGGAGUUUCCGUCACUAAAGGGUUAUAGUCUGUAACUACUUAAUCUACUGUUCCACCGUAGACUCAGCAGGUGGCGGUAAUGCUCCAGACACUGAGGAGUAAACUGCCAUUAAACCAAACAGAAGAAGAUGUUUUCUGUUUCCGGAUUCGUCGUCCUUGUCAACUGUCAUGGCGGCGGCCUAAAUCGUGCACGAACUGUUGAUGUUGGAGCUGUGUUGUCCUGUUAAAUAAUACCGUUAAGAGGAUUAGACACACGAUGGACGACGGACGGAAGAUAUGGAAUAGAUACUUAAAGAUUUACAUUGUCUCAGGCUGGGCAAUGAUGUUCGGUACUUGGGUGAUCUUUAAAACCAUUUUAAAGCCAGACCAUCCAGGUGAGGGAGAGAAACUGUCAUCAUGAACCAACCUGAAACUUUAUAACUGUUAUGUUCAAGGUUUAAAACCAACAAAAGAACUGUAAGGUAAAGUUUAAAUCAGCUCUGUCCCCGAAACAAAUGCUCAGAGUCUCGUUGGUCUGAUUCAGAAGUUGGUGUCUCAAUCGCAUCAUCAGCUUCAGCUGUAACAGUACUAAACAAACAAAAUCCUGAUUCUGAACCACAAUACCAAGACUUUUCAGGUAUAUACCAAAUCAUUUGAAGGUUUAUACACUUAUGUAUAACACGAAUUCAGAUUCACCUCACUUAAAAAAAAAAAAAAAGUUAAUUUUAUUUUAUUUUUAGAAAGCGGGCACCGCUUUUUGCUGCGCAGACUUCAUUGAACAGGUUCCUGAUCCAAAACCCCCAAAUUCAGUUUCAAAUUUAAAAAAAAAAAAUCAAUAUAUAAAUUAGCAACUUUGCUGACUCUGGCACAUUUACAUUUGUAUUGUUAUAUUUAUAUUCAUCAACGUGCAUUGUCCCUGUGCAUGUAUGCAUAGUUUUUGUUGAGAGGCCGGACUCUAAAUGACAGGAUAUCAGGCAAUUUUUAUAUAAAACAAAUUAAGUAAAACUUUUUAAAAUGUUGCUUGUUUUAACUUGUUUUAGAUAGCUUUAUACUGUGGAUUAUACUGUAUCAUUUACAGUCUGAUCACUUUCGGUAUGAAGAGACUCCCAUUUAGAUUGGGACACAAUUUGCUUCGUUGGAUAUCAAUGAUCUCCAAGUUAUUUAUUAAUUUAUUUCUUUUUUUCUUUUCCCCUCCACAGUUCCGAAAAUAGAAGAAGACCGAAGACCAUAUCGUGAAGAUAAAGACAUGGUAUAUUUUACGACUUGGGGUAAAAACGAUAGCUGGAAAAGAACUGUUUCCUACAAGAAAGAAAAUCUCGUAAAACACUACAUAAACAAAUACUAUACGCUUGACUGGGCCCCUUUUCCUGAGCCUCCGGACCGCAAGAAAUAGCUGCACCGACACUGACAGUGAAUGGACAGUAUGGACUUUUGAAGAUGAGAACCAUGAUACAUGAUGAGUUUAUGACAUUGUAGGCACUUUGAUGAUUUGCAAAGAAAAUGUCAGGCUGGUCUCUCCUGUCCAGUUUUGACAGAGCUGCCUUUUGUUUUGUUGAUGUAAAUGGGUGAGCAGAAAUGUUUAAAAAUGCCAGCAGUCAAAGUAAAGAUCCUGUCAGCUUCAUGCAUGCUGUUGUCCACCUAACAAAGUUGCCAAAGUAUGGUUUUAAAUAAACUCUUUUCUGAUGUGGAGGAUGUUUCAUUUUCUAAUGAUUCUUCUGGGCUCUUCUACCAGUUUAUAAACUUAGAGGUGCAGUGUGCAGGAUUUUACUUAGCAAAUUAGCAAAUCAGGCAUGAAAGACUAUGUAAAGUGACACUCAUAAGUAGUAAAUAGGAGUAACAUUCACAAGUAGCUUUAAAUGAUUUAUAAUUCCUGGGAUAUGAAAAUGGCUUUUUGUUUGUUUUAUUUUUGAUCGAUUAAAAUAUCAACUUUGCUGACUCUGGCAGAUUUAUAUUUGCAUUUUUAUACUUAUGUUCACCAACCUACAUUGUCCCUUUCUAAAUAAAUAAAUAUAUAUAUAUAUAUUUUAGAAUAAA